rnacentral:rRNA from 1 species
UACGAAGGGGGGCUAGCGUUGUUCGGAAUCACUGGGCGUAAAGCGCACGUAGGCGGAUUGUUAAGUCGGGGGUGAAAUCCUGAGGCUCAACCUCAGAACUGCCUUCGAUACUGGCAAUCUCGAGUCCGGAAGAGGUUGGUGGAACAGCUAGUGUAGAGGUGAAAUUCGUAGAUAUUAGCUAGAACACCCGUGGCGAAGGCGGUUCUCUGGGACGGUACUGACGCUGAGACGCGAAAGCGUGGGGAGCGAACAGG